CAAUUAUAAGUUUUUGAGAACUUCUAAACUCAAUAAGAUAAAACAAAGAGGCAUACAUGUACACAAUGACAAUGACAAUAAAAAUUGUUUACCUUGAUAAAGUUUUUUGACCUCAUAUUAAAUUACUUCAAGCUUAUGUGUACACAUGAAAUUGAUACAGUGAAACCUGGAUUAACCGAAAACCUGUAUAAGCCAAACAUGUUCUUAAGCACUGUCAUAUCAAUUUGUAUGCGUUGUAAACCUGAUAAAACCAAAUAUUGGCCAAAAUCCAAACACAAUCUUAAGUCCCGAAGAGGUUUGGUUAAAACAGGUUUCACUGUACAAAGAUAUCUCGUGGACUCAAAAUUUGAGAAUAAUUAAUAUGCCAAGGAUGAUGAUAAUGAUGGAUGGCUGCUUA
rnacentral:lncRNA from 1 species